GAUGAAGAACGUAGCGAAAUGCGAUAAGUAAUGUGAAUUGCAGAAUUCAGUGAAUCAUCGAAUCUUUGAACGCACAUUGCGCCCCUUGGUAUUCCGAGGGGCAUGCCUGUUCGAGCGUCAUUUAAACCAAUCUAGCUUGCUAGGUCUUGGGCUUUCGCCUCUGGGCGGGCCUCAAAAUCAGUGGCGGUGCUGCCGGGCUUUAUGCGUAGUAAUCUUUCUCGCUAUAGGGUCCUGGUAGAGGCUUGCCAACAACUAUAAAUCUUUCAAAGGUUGACCUCGGAUCAGGUAGGGAUACCCGCUGAACUUAAGCAUAUCAAUAAGCGGAGGA
rnacentral:misc_RNA from 1 species